UGGGGGGUGGAGGGGCAGCAGGGGGAGGUGGGCGUCCACCGCCUCAGCGGCUGCAGCCUCUCCACACACGCGCCCUGCCACCAACCUCGAGGCCAAAAGGAGGUGUCUGUGAGCAGCUCCCACUCACCUCCCCAGAAAAGGGGCGGGCUGGGAAGUGCCGGGCAUGGCCGGCCGGCCGUCUGUAGCAGUCAGUGGGGGAGGUCACCCGCCCCACGUCCACCCCUGCCAGCCCAGCACCUGGAUCUGCUCGAAGGGGAUCUCGAAGCUGAAGGACUCGUUGAAGUACGGGUUCAGGGUCUUCUUCUUCACUGUCGUCUUCUUCUUCUUGAGCCUCUUGCCGUUCUGCAUCAGGUGGAUCUUCACGUAGGGGUCUGUGCGGAGGCAGCCGGCAAGGCCCUGAGCACGCGCCCGGCCCGCCAGCCCAGGGACGGCAGAGCCAGCUUCCAGGCCAGGGCGGCCAGAGGCUUCACCUCUGGGACCCUGCCAUGGCUGUGGCCGCCUGGAGCUCAGAGCUCUGCUGGGACUGGGACGGGCCUGCGCCAGCGCUCGGGCCCACAGGGAGAGCAGCGGAAAGGCAGCUCUCAGCGGGGCUCCCCGCCCCGUCCUGCCCUGAGGACCCAAAGCCGCUCAGACAGCCUGUGUGUCCCACGCAUCUGAGGCCUGCUAUCCAGGUUGAGGGCUCUGGGCCGCGACCGGCUGGCAGGUGCCCCCCGAUGGCGGCCAGAAGCCACGCACACACCUGAAAGGCCACCCACGUCCAUCUUCUUGAGGUUCUUGGCCUCCAGGAUGCAGACGAGCGAGCUGCUGUCCUCCAAGCCCUCGGCAUCCCUUUCCUUGUGUUAGCGUCACAGGGCAAGGACCUCGUGACUAGCAAGAGGGGGCUCCUGGGCCCGAGAGCUCGGCCAGCGCCAUGGCACAGUCGAGGCUUCUCAGAGGCGGGCCUCGGGACCCAGGCUGGCCACCUCGCCCACAGCCCGGUCAGGGUGCUGACCCUUCCUUCGGGCGACCUGAGCCCCGAGGUCCCUCCACUCCUCGAUGGGCUGCCCCAGGUCCACGGUGUUCAUGGGCACCUUUACCUCCCCGAUGAUGUCGUGUUUGGAGAAGCGGUCAAAGUCGUAGAUGGCCAUCACCAGGGUCUUGCCCCCCAGCUCCUGGAGGAAGACCUUGACAUAAGGGUCCGAGGUGCCGCCCAUGUCCAGGGCGGGCAGCUCCGCGGCCUGCAGGACGCCCACGGUGAGCUGUGGAGUGAGUGGGCGCCGGGUCAGCCCCGAGAGGGCGGGCGGGUGCUGGACAGGAAGUCGGCCUCCAUCUCCCUCCCCGGGGAAUCGGAGUAACACGGGGGAGACAGUCGCCGCGAGGUGACUGGUCUGCCCGAGGAGGGCAGCACGUGGACGGCGGGCAGGCUGAGCACAGCCCU